rnacentral:rRNA from 1 species
GACGAACGCUGGCGGCGUGCUUAACACAUGCAAGUCGAACGGAAAGGCCCUGCUCUUGUGGGGUGCUCGAGUGGCGAACGGGUGAGUAACACGUGAGUAACCUGCCCUUGACUUUGGGAUAACUUCAGGAAACUGGGGCUAAUACCGGAUAGGAGCUCCUGCUGCAUGGUGGGGGUUGGAAAGUUUCGGCGGUUGGGGAUGGACUCGCGGCUUAUCAGCUUGUUGGUGGGGUAGUGGCUUACCAAGGCUUUGACGGGUAGCCGGCCUGAGAGGGUGAACGGCCACAUUGGGACUGAGAUACGGCCCAGUCUCCUACGGGAGGCAGCAGUGGGGAAUAUUGCACAGUGGGCGGAAGCCUGAUGCAGCAGCGCCGCGUGCGGGAUGCCGGCUUUCGGGUUGUAAACCGCUUUCGACUGUGACGAAGCGUGAGUGACGGUAAUGGGUAAAGAAGCACCGGCUAACUACGUG